GACGAACGCUGGCGGCGUGCUUAACACAUGCAAGUCGAACGGAAAGUCCCUGCUUUUGCUUGGUACUCGAUUGGCGAACGGGUGAGUAACACGUGAGUAACCGUCCCUUAACUUUGGGAUAACUUGAGGAAACUGGUGCUAAUACCGGAUAGUAGCUCCUGCUGCUUGGUGGUGGUUGGAAAUUUUCGGAGGUUGGGGAUGGAAUCGCGGCUUAUCAGCUUGUUGUUGGGGUAGUUGCUUACCAAGGCUUUGACGGGUAGCCGGCCUGAUAGAGUGACCGGCGACCAUGGGACUGCGAUACGGAACAGACGCGAACGGGCGGCAGUAGAGGGGAAUAUUGCAGAACAAGGGCACGUGUGAUGAAGAAGCGUCGCGUGCGGAAAGACCGGUUUCGAGUUGAAAACCGCUUUGGGAUGUGAAGAUGCAUGAGUGAAGGUAAUCUGAAAAGAAGCACAGGGCUAACAAGGUC
rnacentral:rRNA from 1 species